rnacentral:rRNA from 1 species
GACGAACGCUGGCGGCGUGCUUAACACAUGCAAGUCGAGCGAUGAAGUUUCUUCGGAAAUGGAUUAGCGGCGAACGGGUGAGGAACACGUGAAGAAUCUGCCCUCCACUUUGGGAUAACACCGGGAAACCGGUGCUAAUACCGAAUAUUGAAACAUAAGUGGCAUCACUGAGUUUUGAAAGAAUUUCGGUGGAGGAUGACUUCGCGGCCUAUCAGCUAGUUGGUGAGGUAAUGGCUCACCAAGGCAACGACGGGUAGCCGGCCUGAGAGGGCGACCGGCCACACUGGGACUGAGACACGGCCCAGACUCCUACGGGAGGCAGCAGUGGGGAAUAUUGGGCAAUGGAGGAAACUCUGACCCAGCGACGCCGCGUGCGGGAUGAAGGCCUCGGGUUGUAAACCGGCUUUCAGUAGGAAGAAGCGAAAGUGACGGUA